GGCUCAGAUUGAACGCUGGCGGCAUGCUUUACACAUGCAAGUCGAACGGUAACAGGCCUUCGGGUGCUGACGAGUGGCGAACGGGUGAGUAAUGCAUCGGAACGUGCCCAAUCGUGGGGGAUAACCUGGCGAAAGCCAGGCUAAUACCGCAUACGUCCUGAGGGAGAAAGCGGGGGAUCGCAAGACCUCGCGUUAUAGGAGCGGCCGAUGUCGGAUUAGCUAGUUGGUGGGGUAAAGGCCUACCAAGGCGACGAUCUGUAGCGGGUCUGAGAGGACGGCCCGCCACACUGGGACUGAGACACGGCCCAGACUCCUACGGGAGGCAGCAGUGGGGAAUUUUGGACAAUGGGCGCAAGCCUGAUCCAGCAAUGCCGCGUGAGUGAAGAAGGCCUUCGGGUUGUAAAGCUCUUUCAGUUGAGAAGAAAAAAUUGUGACUAAUACUUGCAAUUCAUGACAGUAUCGACAGAAGAAGCACCGGCUAACUACGUG
rnacentral:rRNA from 1 species